rnacentral:tRNA from 1 species
UUUGUGGUGGCUGAUAAUAGGUGAUAGAUUGUAAUUCUAUAUAUAACAAGAAUUUUGUUCUACAAGU